rnacentral:lncRNA from 1 species
GCCAUCUAUAGUUUUGAAACUUUUGCAAUUUAAUGAAAUGGCUUUCAAAUAAUGCCUUUUGGUUGAAUCUAGUACAAAAUGUAUAAACUAUUACAACACUUGAUUUAAAAAAAAAAAGUCUUUCAACUUCACUAGUGAAUACACCACCCUUUUAUAUUGCCUCGAAAAGGCUACUGAGGUCUCUCUCCUUGCAUCAGAAAUCAUUUGUUAAAAUACAGGACUUCAAACAAAACUGGUAGUUAAUGCAACUUACAACAAUAUUUUAUUCUAAUGCAACUCUGUUCUAAAUGAGAUUUUUGAAAGGAUGACCCAGUAUGUGUGGAGGGGAGGGUAAACUCACAAUUUUCUAGGUGGAAUACUCGUGAAAUUUUAAUUUAUAGAAAAUUUCAUUUAGCAGGCAUGCUUAAACAAUUACAUUAGAAUAUGAAUAACUGCAAUUUAUAUAAAUACUAGAGUCAAUCAUAGAUUUUGCAGCUGCAAAUAUUUUUUCCCCUUCCAAAAAUGCAGAACUGAAAAAAUUUAUUUACAACUAUAAAAUCAAAGAUUGAAAUUGCCAUGUUUAGAAAUAGAACACAAUAUUUCCUUCCGUCUAAUUGAUACAAAAAGCACUCAAAAACUUUUUAACUAUAAUUUCAACUGUAA